CUCGAUCCGUCCCCCGCUGCCGCCAACGCGUGACCUGGGGCCGUGCGAUGCAGAAACUGAGGCACAGAGAAGGGAAGCGACUUGCCCAAGGUCACAUAGCAGGCUACUGGCAGAGCCAGAUAAGAACCCCUCCUCUCUGGAGUCCCAGGCCAGAGCUGUCUCCAUCAGGCUAGCACUGUUUGUAGUGUGCAUGACUCUUAUAGUUAUUUUUCUGUUUUCUAAGUACAGUAAUUCAGUUAACUCUGUAAAGGGAUCCCUGCAGCCUGACUGAAGGGCUCCUGCCUGGAAGACACACCUCCAUGCUGCCAUUAAAUUAAUUCAAACUGGAAAUGUUACCCAGCAUGUGCUUGCUCUCUCUCCCCCCUUCCAUGAUCUAACCCCUGUAAAUAUCCGCCUCUGUACACAGGGGACUGGUGCACUCUUCUGUCACACAGCCUCCUCUCAGGGCCUCCUGAAUAUCUGAUAUUGAUGUUAAAACCACUCUGAGAUGCAGAGAGCACCUCACUACUCUCACAGUGACAGGCGCAGGCUCAGGCAGCGUCGCUGUGUUGGUUACACUCAAGUGAGGUUUAUGCUUUUCUUUGCAGCCAUGAAGGCUAGUAACUGCCUUUGUUCCAAGGAAAGCUGUGAUCGCAGGCCAUGAGGAACAGGGCUCUAGGCAGAGGCCUCUAAUUCAUCCCGGGGGGGGGAGGAGGAGAGGAGAAUUCCUGUGGUGGUGGCUGGGAAGUGCUGUGGACUCUGGUGUGCAGGGUUGGUGUAUUUGUGGGGAUCACGGAUGGAUUCACAAAGGUUGCUUGUGCAGAGUGUGUGAACCAAUUUUAUUAUUUUAAAUUUGCAUAUGCAAAUAUUGUGCAUUCACACUGGGAUUUUCACAGGCGACUGAAACUCUCUCAGGCUUCUUUGGGAAUCCCAGGCUAAUUUCCCUAGGAACAUCUGAAAACAUUUUCACCAAUAAAUGAACAGCCUCCCAAAUCCCUGCAAAACAAUGAAUAACCGGCCCGUCAUUUCAUUAAUAGAAAAUGAUAUGCACAAAUUUUGUUAUCCCAAAUGAAGUUCCCAAGCACUUCAAACACACUGGUGUAAAUAAAACAAUAAAACAAGUUUAUUAACUACAAUUUGAAGUGACUACAAGUAGUGAGGCAUAAAAGUCAGAAUUGGUUACAAAGAAAUAAAGGGCAAAACACAAACUAAUACCUAAUUUAACAAGCUAAGCAAAUUCAAAGUGAAACUCUCUCUCAUCAUAUUUUCCCUACAGUCUUACUGGCUGAAUCUUCCAGCCAGGAUCUCUCUCCCUCAUCCAGUAAUGCUUCCUUUGUCUUUCAAGUGUUGUCAAUGAGUAUGGAUGAAGGGAGAGAUGAUUUGUGUCCUCUCUUCUCAUUUCUUAUAGUUAUUUUCCUUUUUAAAAGUCAUCUCCAGCUGAGGUUCGGGAGCAGAAAGUCUGUUUGCAUGGGAAGGCCCAGCUGUUCCUUUGCCAAGAUGUAAAUUUCCCACUCACACCCUUCUUCCUGCCAAAGAAUGUCGGCUUAAUCAGGUGAUAGUCCAUUUGUUUAUGUUGGCACCUGGCCGAGACAUCAGUUUGCCUUUUGUCUCUGAGGAACUGGUUUGAGCCUGAUUUUCUAAACUUGGAACAUGUCUCAGCAGUGUCAUACAGUAUAAUCUUAUGACUUUACAUACAAUGUUGUCACACAUAUUUUACCAGGACAGUAAUGACCAGCAAAUUAUGAGUUUUCAAAUGAUACCUCAAAAGUCGUAUUUUGUACAAAAUGUAUCAUAGUCUUGUAAAAGUGGUGAACAUAAGGGUACAGACUGUAACACCUUCUUUGACAGGGUAACAAGCCUUGUGGAUUGGGGGAAGCAGUAGAUAUGAUAUAUCUUGAUAUUAGAAAGGCUUUUGAUACUGUCUCGCAUGAGCUUCUCAUAAACAAACUAGGGAGAGAGCCUAAACACUACUAUAAACUGGAUGCAUAACUGAUUGGAAAACCAUACUUAGAGAGUAGUUGUCAAUGGUUCACAGUCAAGCUGAGGUCCCACAGAGAUCUGUCCUGGGUCUUACUCUAUUCAAUAGCUUCAUAAAUGAUUUGGAUAAUGGCACAGAGAGUACAUUUAAAGAUGUGGAUGAUACCAAGCUGGGUUGCAUGCACUUUGGAGGACAGGAUUAGAAUUCAAAAUGAUCAGGACAAACUGGAGAAAUGGUCUAAAAUAAAUAGGAUGCAAUUCAAUAAGGACAAAUGCAAAGUACUCCACUUAGGAAGGAACAAUCAGUUGCACACAUACAAAAUGGGAAAUGACUGCCUAGGAAGGAGUACUGCAGGAAAAGAUCUGGGGAUUAUAUCAGAUCAGUAACUAAAUAUGAGCCAACAAAGUAAUAGUUGCAAAAAAAGUGAACAUCAUUCUGGGAUGUAUUAGUAGCAGUGUUGUAAGAAAGGCAGAAUAAGUAAUUCUUCCACUCUACUCUGUACUGAUAAGGCGUCAACUGGAGUAUUGUGUCCAGUUCUGGGCACCAUGCUUCAGGAAAUGUGUGGACAGAAUGGAGAAAAUCCAGAGAAGAGCAAAAAAAAAUGUAAGCAGAGUCAGGAUGAGCUCUACCCUGACAUCUGGUGGUGAAUUAUGGCGAGUGUGGAAAAGAAUUCCAGGGGCUGAUCUGGUUUGCAUAGGCACACCCACUCGCCUGGCAUGAAACAACAGCAACUGAAAGUGGUUACUUUGGCUGGUGUGGGAUCCCCAGUUUUCUCUGUUAUUGGGGCAGGAAGAAUAAAGUUUUGUUACCCUGAUUCUGUGAAUCAAGGCCAGUGGAACUGUGUAUGACAGAAGGACUGAGUGAGUCCUUCACCAUUACCUAAGUAGCACUUGCUUGACAAGGGGCAUGGGUUACAAAACCCAGUGAAUUGAGAGAGGUUGGGGGUAGGUGUUUGUAUCUGGGGGUGUGGGUGCCUUUUCAGAGCCUGAAACACCAAUUGCAUCUCUUCUUUUCUCCACUGUUGAAUGUCAAAGCUAACUUUGAUUCUAUUAGGAGACUAAUUACAAGCUGCUGAGCUGAGUUCACUUUCAGCAAAUAGUGCACCAGCACUGGGUCUCCCCUACUACUUGCUGAAAUCACAAAAGAGCUAAAGUUAUUAAGAGCUGAGAUCACUGAGGCUGUGUUAACUAGUUGGGGAGCCUGAAGCUAUAUUGCUAAGCGGCUGGCGGAGCAGCUAGCAGAGUGGACCCUUGUGGGGAUGAGCGGAGCAGUGAGCGGAGCCGAGCCGAGCCGAGCGGCUCACAGGUCGGUGAGCGGAGCAGAGCAGCUGCCAGAGUAGUUCGUGGGACGGCAGGAGUGGCUCACGGGACAGCGGGUGGAGUGGAGCGGCUUGUGGUGAAGGCUGCGGCGGAACCCCACAGAGAAGCAGCUGGUCGGCCUCAGAUCAUGUAAGGUGCCCCUUAACACCCUGCGCGUGCCCCCCCUUGAACUCUGGGGCUGCAGUGACCAGGGACAGAGACUUUGGGGGAUUGUUGGACUCUUGGGACUUUGGUGAUUCUUGGGUUGCUGGAUCCAAGAGACUUUGGAGUUGUUGGACUUUUGGGACUUUGGUGAUUCUUGGGUUGCUGGAUCCAAGAACCAACAGGAAAGGACACGGCCCAAUCUGCUGGGGUGGGUCGUCGCUCAUGGUUUGGUCUAUGAACUCUAGUUGUGGUGUUUUCCCAAUUUAAUGCUAUGUCAUUUACGUCAUGUUAUUAAACAUUUUCUGCUACA